CUCAACUCGCGGGUGUGAUUCAUCGCAACCGUCGUUAAGUUGUGAAUUCACGUGAAAUUGUGUGAUUUGACUGGAAGGUCAAGGUUAUGGUCACGAAGGCACUGGUUUAUCUUAUCUGUCGAGGCAAGUUAUUCUACCGGAUUGUCCACUGACACCCGAAUCUUCUUGUCGACAGGGAGAUAAAUCACUGGUUUCGAUGAUCGUUCUACAAUGGAACCUGCUGCGAAAUCGUGACAGCAGAAAUCAUCCAAGUAGUCAGUGAUUUCGCAGGAUUUACAUCAAACAACAGUGACGGUGCAGAUUGUUAGGAUUAUAUAGCGUGCCAAGAGCCACUGAAGUGAAGCAACAGUUGAAAUUGUUGUGAAAUAGGCCCACAUUGAAACAAAACCGGUUGAAUGCGUUGGUGAAGUACGCAUAAAAAGAAUUUGUCAUAGAAAAGUUGUGAAUGAUUCACACAUUUUUCCCCCGAAUACAUCUCAACACAAUUAGUGACCGUUAGCGGCAUGAAUCAUCAUCCCUGUACUGUGUUCCCCCCACACCAUCUUUUCAUGGGAACAUUGGAUUGGCGGGGAUUUUCUUCAGCAUUGUUAAACAUCGAUCAAACUAGUCAACCUAUUGACAAAACUAGUAGGCUAGUAGAACAACUGAACUAUCAAUUGUACAGCUUGCUUAAGUGGCCUAGUCGGCUCUGUUAUCUUUCAAAUUGAUAAACGUUUUCGGUGCAAACAACAGGCUGUCGUAGGUUCGCUACCGGAGGCGACAAAGCUGCGCACGGAGUGGUGGCUACCCACUACCAACCACCCACUAUCCGUCAAUCCAUCAACACACAGGACAGAUUAUUACAGUCACGCGGGAAUGACGUCAAUCCUGUCACAAUGAGCCCAUCACCAGUACAAGGAACUUUCCAGGGGUGAUGGAGAUUUCCAGUCACAGUCGUGUCGAAAAACCGCUUCUCUCUGUGCUCUUCUCUGGGAAAUUUCUGGAUAUGGCAAAAAUAGGUCCAGCUUAACCUUGACACUAGUCAGUCCCACCAUCCGCGCCGAUCUCCACGUGCGGUAAUCAGAUGACACCACCGAAAAUUCUUCUGACCUUUUAUUUGUGGAAUUUCCGGAAUGCGGUAAUCGUCAGUCUCGUCAAGUAUUUGUCCAUUUAUAGAACUUCAAUUUCUCAGAAAUCGUUCAACAUAAACAAUACAGAUGAGGAUUACUCUUGCGUCAGUUUGACUGCGGAGUAAAAUUUAGUUACGUUAAUAAUAAUGACCGUGUGGUGGUUUUUUCUUUCUUCUUCUGUAGAACAACAAAAAAAAUCCCCGUGCCACCCCGACGGAGAAUGAAGCAAUAAUGAAAGUAAUAAAAUAGCAAAAAAAACAUGCGAAAACAACAACACGACGGGGCAUGAACACGUUUCCAGUUUGCAAGUCAUUCCAGAAAAGAAGAAAACACAUUUACCCCACUCCCGCCAACGGCGAUGAUGACGUGUUUCACCGUCGUGGAGAAAUGCUCCUCUGCUGGUGUGCGUACGUUCACGACGCCGGUUGAAUCAAAUCGACAUCGGGUACUAAUGCAACCUCUUCAUCACGUUAGUUCAUUUGAUGAACGAGCACCAUCGGACAACGCAUCGGAUAGGCAGAGAACGAACGUCGACGGAAGCGUAUUGGAUUCCAUGGUAAUCAACAAUGAAUCAUCGAAAAGUCUGAUUCAUCUUGUUAAGGAAAAGUACUACCGAAGCACUGUCACCGUCCCGUACUCACCUGGCAAGGGUGCCAAAGCUUUCCUGCUUUGAUUCUCUUCACUCCGAAAGCUUCGAACUGUUUAUUAGAAACAGUGUGGGUUUGGUAUUCGGGAAAUGAGUAACUCACAAUAAUGGUGUUUCGUGUUAUUCAAGUUUUUUUCUCCAUAUUUCAGUUGUAUUGACGUCAUGACGGGCGCUGAAAGGAACAAUUUCCACGGCACUGGACAGCUCGGAACUCAUAUUUCAAUUCUGUUCUUCUAAUUGUAAACUGUUCGUCUUUUAUAUCAGCAAAACGCACCGCUGUAUUCAGACUUCGGGUCAUAAUUUGUGAAGUUGCGUCGACUAUUCAUGUGGUUUCAGUGGUGAUAAAAUGUCAAAUGUUUUCGAAUAUGUUUUAAAAGUUCGUUUUUCAGGUCUUUGCGUUAAUCGACUUUGUGUCUGCCUGGUGAUAUUAUCACAACGGAACAUACUUUGUUUGAAAAAUAUUCUGUCGAAAAAACGCUACUUAAAAAUUAUUAAUUUAUCUAUAGUCAAUCAAGAGUAGACUAUAGGAUUCAUUACAAUAAUAAUCUUAAAUAAUAAACUUAUAUAUAAACUAAUCUAUGAAUACAGUACAAGUUAGAUAAAAUAUUUUACUAGCUUUACGGAAAGAAUUAACGGAAACCAGUUGUAUACUGCCAUCACUCGAUUUAUUGGUCCAGUUUUUGCACAGUUUAUUUGGUGGUUUGUAAAAAUUGAGCUUUGACAGAAAUACACUUAAAUCUAUGCCAUUCGGAACCAUUGAAAAUUCUCUGCGUUCUUUUAAGUUCUAGAUACUGAUGAGCAUACAGUGGACUUUGUAGGACGGAAGAGGGAGUCUUGCCCAACCCAAUUUACCUCCAUUCGAUCGUCAUAUGUGAUUAAAUAAGGUGUCCAAACUAAGCUACAAUACUCUAGCAAUGUGUAAUGUUUUAAUUGGAUACGGAUUAUGAAAACAGUAAAACAAUAAAUGGCACUGUUCAUAGUA